GUCUUCUCCCCCUUGGACGUCAUCUCAGCUUCCAGCACAGACUCCUCAGCUUGCAGUGUAGACUCUUCAGGCUUUCAUCACAGACCCAUCAGCCUCCUGAUACAGACUCUGCAGUGAGCUCCAGAGCUUUGAUCUCCAGAUACAGGAGGUGCCAUCUACCAGGAAUAGAUCCUUGCCAAACACCAGAUUUGCCAGCACCUAGGUCUUGGACUUCACAUCCACCAGAACCAUGAACCACCAGAACCACCUGUUGUUUAGAAGCCAUCCAGUCCAGGCGAUACAGAUGCUUCAGAUCCAUCGACAGCAAUUGGAGAAGGACUGACUUUUAAUGACUCGUGCAAGCCUCAGUGUCUUCCCAGACUUGGGACUGCAGGUUGUACUCUUUCAACCACACCUGAAUCCUGCAAACUGGAAGAUUUCUCUUUGACAACUCUUAUCUCCAAAAAGUGCCCAUUAUGGAAAUCAACAUUUAAACCUUGAUAUUUUUCCUGUUCUGCCCUGAAGCAACUAUGAAGAGUAUGAGUGGUGAUUAAACGUGUACCAUAUUAAUAUUACAUAAGUAUUCAUCUUACUAUUUUGCCAUAAUUUUCUUUGGGGCAAAAUGGCAGAGCCAUGUCAUUUUAUCUACUUUCACAAAAAUCUCUAUGGAAAAUAGGAAAAGGUCCUCCA